UACGUAGGGGGCAAGCGUUGUCCGGAAUCAUUGGGCGUAAAGAGCGUGUAGGCGGCCCGGUAAGUCCGCCGUGAAAGUCCAGGGCUCAACCCUGGAAUGCCGGUGGAAACUGCCGGGCUGGAGUCCGGAAGAGGCGAGUGGAAUUCCUGGUGUAGCGGUGAAAUGCGCAGAUAUCGGGAGGAACACCUAUGGCGAAGGCAGCUCGCUGGGACGGUACUGACGCUGAGACGCGAAAGCGUGGGGAGCAAACAGG
rnacentral:rRNA from 1 species